UACGGAGGGGGCUAGCGUUGCUCGGAAUCACUGGGCGUAAAGCGCACGUAGGCGGAUUGCUAAGUCAGGGGUGAAAUCCUGGAGCUCAACUCCAGAACUGCCUUUGAUACUGGCGACCUUGAGUCCGGGAGAGGUGAGUGGAACUGCGAGUGUAGCGGUGAAAUGUGUAGAGAUCGGGAGGAACACCGGUGGCGAAGGCGGGUCUCUGGGCAAUUCCUGACGCUGAGGCGCGAAAGCGUGGGGAGCAAACGGG
rnacentral:rRNA from 1 species